rnacentral:lncRNA from 1 species
GGACAUUAGGGCUAGAUCAGCUUCUAAUGGUAUUGCUGUAAAUACCGUUUCUGACCCCAAAGGGUUUUAUAGUUUGAACUCAAAUGAUCGCAAAUGUAUUUGUACUUAGUUAACCUGCUCAGAUGACAUGAGUACGUCUUAGAAAUCCAGAAAUGCAAUAUCCAGUAUUACAGUGGAUCUAAUAGCACUGGAUUACAUUGUUUUUCUUAAUACAAUCUGUUGAAUACUAACAUGCUUUUGACCCAGUGAGGGUAUUGUCCUUUCACAGCCACACAACGAGCAUUGUAGUCCUUUCUCCUGGGAUAGGAGACAUUUUGUUUUCGUGCUCUUUUCACACCAGCACUCCCUUUUCCCACAGAAACCCUCUCCUUUCUCCCGUUCCAAGGCAGCCCUUUUCAAACCGGGAAGCUCCAGGUCAGUUUCCCUUUCCAAGUUUUACGGCCUGCCAUGUUGUCUAUUCUGCUCAGCUAUUUAAAAAAUGUUGAAUAUCAACAAUGGCUUUCACUGGUGUAUUGUCAACUUUUGUAUGAAGCAAUCUUGGCUGAAUGAGAUGGGUCCCAGAGCAGGGAGGGCUUGGCUGCGGCAUGCACCGCAACACCACUGGCGCCUGCCUGGCUCUCUCUCUCUCUCUCUCUCUCUCUGCUGCAGGCAGGAUCAGGGAGGCAGGAGCAGCCGUCCCUCUAGUCCCUGUCUCAGCCCAGCCGCUGGGGUCUGCAUGGGGCUGGGAAAGCCACCCCCUCGUCAGUCCUCUCCGCGAACCCAUCCUCAUCCCAGGUUCCCCUCCCCCUGCCUCUGGCCCUGUCGUCUGGGAGCCCCCGAAGGUGUGACACCUCACACAGGGAUCGGAGAGCAGGAGCCCCGGGGGUCAGUCAGAGCUGGGUAGCCAUGCCAACCCCAUUGGAGAUGUAUGUUUGAAGAUAAUCAUAGGAAAUCCUCCACCUAACCCAGAGAAACCCUCUCCAGGUCAGCAGCAACCCUGGAGUACCCUACUACCUGACAGGUGGGUUGUACAGGCCCACUCAGGCUCUGACAUGGGCUUUGGUGGACUUCUCGUUCUAACUCCCACACCA